rnacentral:rRNA from 1 species
UGGGGAAUAUUGGACAAUGGGCGCAAGCCUGAUCCAGCCAUGCCGCGUGAGUGAUGAAGGCCUUAGGGUUGUAAAGCUCUUUCGACGGGGACGAUAAUGACGGUACCCGUAGAAGAAGCCCCGGCUAACUUCGUGCCAGCAGCCGCGGUAAUACGAAGGGGGCUAGCGUUGCUCGGAAUCACUGGGCGUAAAGGGCGCGUAGGCGGACGUUUAAGUCAGAGGUGAAAGCCCAGGGCUCAACCCUGGAAUGGCCUUUGAUACUGGACGUCUUGAGUCUGGUAGAGGUUGGUGGAACUGCGAGUGUAGAGGUGAAAUUCGUAGAUAUUCGCAAGAACACCGGUGGCGAAGGCGGCCAACUGGACCAGAACUGACGCUGAGGCGCGAAAGCGUGGGGAGCAAACAGGAUUAGAUACCCUGGUAGUCCACGCCGUAAACGAUGGAUGCUAGCCGUUGGCCGGUUUACCGGUCAGUGGCGCAGCUAACGCGUUAAGCAUCCCGCCUGGGGAGUACGGCCGCAAGGUUAAAA